rnacentral:rRNA from 1 species
AAUGUCUGGGAAACUGCCUGAUGGAGGGGGAUAACUACUGGAAACGGUAGCUAAUACCGCAUAACGUCGCAAGACCAAAGAGGGGGACCUUCGGGCCUCUUGCCAUCGGAUGUGCCCAGAUGGGAUUAGCUAGUAGGUGGGGUAACGGCUCACCUAGGCGACGAUCCCUAGCUGGUCUGAGAGGAUGACCAGCCACACUGGAACUGAGACACGGUCCAGACUCCUACGGGAGGCAGCAGUGGGGAAUAUUGCACAAUGGGCGCAAGCCUGAUGCAGCCAUGCCGCGUGUAUGAAGAAGGCCUUCGGGUUGUAAAGUACUUUCAGCGGGGAGGAAGGCGACAGGGUUAAUAACCCUGUCGAUUGACGUUACCCGCAGAAGAAGCACCGGCUAACUCCGUGCCAGCAGCCGCGGUAAUACGGAGGGUGCAAGCGUUAAUCGGAAUUACUGGGCGUAAAGCGCACGCAGGCGGUCUGUCAAGUCGGAUGUGAAAUCCCCGGGCU